ensembl:rRNA 5S_rRNA 5S ribosomal RNA
AGCCACAGCCAUAUCACCUUGAAGCUCCAAGACUGGUUAGUCACAGAAGCUAAGCAGGGCUGAGCCUGGUGAGUACCUGGAUGGCAGACCACAUGGGAAAACUAAGUUACUGUUGGAA